rnacentral:rRNA from 1 species
AACGUAGGUCACAAGCGUUGUCCGGAAUUACUGGGUGUAAAGGGAGCGCAGGCGGGAAGACAAGUUGGAAGUGAAAUCUAUGGGCUCAACCCAUAAACUGCUUUCAAAACUGUUUUUCUUGAGUAGUGCAGAGGUAGGCGGAAUUCCCGGUGUAGCGGUGGAAUGCGUAGAUAUCGGGAGGAACACCAGUGGCGAAGGCGGCCUACUGGGCACCAACUGACGCUGAGGCUCGAAAGUGUGGGUAGCAAACAGGAUUAGAUACCCCGCCGGCUGACUGACU